GACGAACGCUGGCGGCGUGCUUAACACAUGCAAGUCGAACGGAAAGGCCCUGCUUGCGUGGGGUGCUCGGGUGGCGAACGGGUGAGUAACAGGUGAGUAACCUGCCCUAGUCUUUGGGAUAACUUCAGGAAACGGGGGUUAAUAUCGUAUAGCAUCCCCCGCUGCGUGGUGGGGGUUGGAAAGUCUCGGCGGGCGCGGAUGGAUGCGCGGCUGAUCGGCUUGUUGGUGGGGUAGUGGCAUACCAACGGAUUGACGGGUAGCCGGCCUGUGAGGGUGAACGGGCACAUGGGGACUGAGAUACGGCCCAGACGCCUACGGGGGGCAGCAGUGGGGAAUAUUGUACAAUGGGAGGGAGCCGGUGGCAGAAACGCUGCGUGCGGGAUGACGGCCUGCGGGUUGAGAACAGCAUCCGCCUAUGACGAAGCGGGAGUGACGGUAAUGGGUAAAGAAGCACCGGCUAACUACGUG
rnacentral:rRNA from 1 species